rnacentral:rRNA from 1 species
ACGAGGUAAAUAGUUGUUUCAAUGGAGGCAGUCGCAAUUCCACACAACAUACUCAUCGGAUUCGAUUAGCUAUGCGUAUAUUUGCUAUACACACGCUUUAGAAUUUAUUCUCCUUUCAACACUGUGAACAAAUCAGAGUGUAUCAAACAUGUCGUUUUUGAAUGUGCAUUGAAUGUCUUAUCAUGGGAUGUUGCACUUUCUGCGUUAAAAAUUUAUUACUGCUUCGUGCUGUAAUUAUUUUUUUACACACACACACACACACAUACGCACAUGUUGUAUGCCACGUAAAUAAUUUUUAACGGUUAAAAAUGUCGAUGGGGAUAGUUGGAGUCAACAGUACUGCUGGGCGAGAGGUGAAAUUCAUUGACCCUAGCAAGACUACCAAAAGCGAAAGCAGUUGGCUAGGCUAUACUCUUUGUGAUUAUAUAUAUUUUAUCACGCAUAAAUAUACACACACACACAUACACACUCACGUAUAUACAUGCGGUCAGUAUAUAUACAUACACUUUACAAUGAAGAACGAAGGUUGGGGGAUCAAAGAGGAUCAGAUACCCUCGUCGUCCCAUUAAUUACAUCAAACGAUGGGCUCUCAAUUGCAUUUUUCAUUAAAUUGCAAAUUUCCUCAGCCUACAAAAUAACUUGGCUUGAGCUCGUAUUUUUAUACGCUCGCCUGAAUUUUUUCGUAUGGUCUCGAUGGACGUUUCAUUUAAAAUUUUUUUGCGUGUAAGCAUUUGUUAAUCUUUGAAACAUAAGAUUGCAUUGCGUGCACUUGAUUUUCGGAGCUUUGCGCUCAAUUCUGGUGAGAUGUAAGCACUGUGUCAUACUGCCCGCAGCGUAUACUUUCGGGUAUUUCGUCUGUCGCGUGCAGUUGACAAUCUUGGUGUGAAGCACGCUUUAGGCACGCGCUUACUGCAGAAAUGUCUGAGACAUUCCCCUCCGGGGGUAGUAUGCACGCAAGUGUGAAACUUGAAGGAAUUGACGGAAGGGCACCACAAGAACGCGUGGAGCAUGUGGCUUAAUUUGACUCAACGCGGGAAAUCUUACCGGGUCCGGACACACUGAGGAUUGACAGGCAAUAUUAGCAAGAAACUCUCUUCGUAGAUUUAUUUUUAAUGUUAAAUAUGCUAGUCCUUUCAUGAUUAUGUGAUAGGUGGUGCAUGGCCGUUCUUAGUUCGUGGAGUGAUCUGUCUGCUUAAUUGCGUUUCACCUAAGGGCUUAUAAAUUACGUGUGUUGCGGCACUUUGACCCCUCUUCGCAACGGAGACGCGUGUCUUAGUUUGCUUUACUCGCACAAUUAGGUCCUGAAAGCAACGAACGUGACCGCAACCUCUUGUUGCCUUUAUUUACCAAUGGUAUGGGAUUUAUAAUUAUAUUUUUACUGAAAAAAGGCUUUUAAACUAGAGGGACCGCUGUAAUCUUUUUAAACCAGAGGAAGGUUGCGGCAAUAACAGGUCUGUGAUGCCCUUAGAUGUUCCGGGCUGCACACGUGCUACAAUGAUUAUUGCAGUGAGCAUCUCAUUUUUUACACACCGCAUGCGCGAGCAAUUAUUGGCAUUCCUUCGUGUUUGCUCUUUAAUUGUGUUUACUUUGCGCGCGGUAAAGCCUGCUUCGAAAGUAAGUGGGUAAUCAAUUAGAAGUAAUGAUUUCCCAAUUUAUAGCACACAUAUAUACGGCAUUUUUACCCGGACUAAGCUUGUCUUAGUUUUUGUGCGUAUUAAUGUUUUUUUCCGUAUGUGCAAUUGUCAAUUCAUGGUGGGGACAGACCAUUGUUAAUUGUUGGUCUCGGUCUUAACUAGGAAUGCCUUGUACGGGUCUUUGGUUCAACAAACCACCCGGAAUACGUCCCUGCCCUUUGUACACACCGCCCGUCGCUCUUACCGAUGGACUUCUCUGUGAGUUUGAGGGACUGGGUACUAAAUAAAAAUUUUUUUUUUCACACCUAUGGAAACUUAAACGAACAGUGUGGUCUAAAGGAAAGAGAAGUCGUAAC